rnacentral:tRNA from 1 species
GGCCUGCUAGCUCAGUCGGUUAGAGCGUCGUACUAAUAACGCGAAGGUCGUAGGUUCGAUCCCUGCGCAGGCCA